UCAGUGAAUCAUCGAAUCUUUGAACGCACCUUGCGCCCCUUGGUAUUCCGAGGGGCACACCCGUUUGAGUGUCGUGAACACCCUCAACCUUCUUGGUUUCUCGACCGGGAAGGCUUGGACUUUGGAGGUUUUCCUUGCUGGCCUCCCUUUGAAGCCAGCUCCUCCUAAAGGAAUUAGUGGGGUCCGCCUUGCCGAUCCUUGACGUGAUAAGUAUGCUUCUACGUCUUGGGUUUCGCACUGUUGGCCCUGGAACCUGCUUCUAACAGUCUUUGAACAAAGACGACGAUAUCGAGUUGCAUCGUGACUCGACCUCAGCGACCUUGACCUCAAAUCGGGUGAGACUACCCGCUGAACUUAAGCAUAUCAAUAAGCGGAGGAA
rnacentral:sRNA from 1 species